CAGAGUUCGUGCCCUCACGGGUAGAUCUCCCACCCUGUGUUAUUAUACCUUUGUUGCUUUGGCGGGCCGCCCUCGGCUACCGGCCCCGGCUGGUACGCGCCCGCCAGAGGACCCCAAACUCUGAAUGUUAGUGUCGUCUGAGUACUAUACAAUAGUUA
rnacentral:misc_RNA from 2 species